rnacentral:rRNA from 1 species
UACGUAGGGUGCGAGCGUUGUCCGGAAUUACUGGGCGUAAAGAGCUCGUAGGCGGUUUGUCGCGUCGUCCGUGAAAACUUGGGGCUCAACCCCAAGCUUGCGGGCGAUACGGGCAGACUUGAGUACUGCAGGGGAGACUGGAAUUCCUGGUGUAGCGGUGGAAUGCGUAGAGAUCCGGAAGAACACCGGUGGCGAAGGCGGUUAGCUGGGCAGUUGCUGACACUGAGGCGCGACAGCGUGGGGAGCAACAGGG